rnacentral:lncRNA from 1 species
AAAAUAGAUUCAUUUCUAUAUUUAUCUAUCAAUCAAUAUUUUCUUGUUGAGGAAAGCUUUUAAACAUUUUUACCAUUAACCCCACCAAUUAAUUAAUUCUGUGCUUUUAAUUAACUAAUUUCUUGAUAUCUGAUCGCUAACCCCCAUUACACAUUGUUACGGCAUAAAUAUUAUAAUUAUGAAUAUUUUUCUAUCGUCCAAAAAAAUCACAUCUUUACAAAAAGUAUGAAUGGUGUUUUUGGUUUUCUCAUAAAAAUCUCAGGUUUCAAACUUUUGUAGGAAACAAUUUAUUUCAUUUUUUUCUGAGUAUUUUUUUUCCAUUUCUCUUUUAUACAUUAUUUAUUUAUUUAUUUAUUAAUGACCUCAGAAAUCAUGUUAAAUACACUAAUUUCAUACAUAACACGACACUCCUUACCUGGGUUAUGAACCCACAUUUGUGCUUACCUGUGGGUGGAAUGGAUGAGUACAGACCCCUAGUCUAUGUUUUUAAUGGCAGUUGCUACACUCACACACACACACACACGCACACACACACACACACAAUUUCAAACAUCAUGGAAUUGUCUGGAAAAUUGCAAUGAAAUCCUGAUUCCUUCUCUCGUCUCAAACAGAUCCUAAAGCUGUCUUUCAUUGCUCAUAUCAGCCAAAUUGAUGAGAUGUCACAAUCACACUGGACAAGACCCUAGUCUCCCCCUACAAUUGACCUCACUGACAUCCCGGUAUUUGUAGUCUUGUCUUAAACUAUAGUUUAUCUGCUUUACUCAAUUUCACAAUGCAAUAUUUGUUGUAGAAGAACUGGAACUUGUCAGUGAACCAUUUACCAAGAAAUCUUUAAUUCAUUCUCUCUUGGAAAUUGUGGCCAAACUUCUGCUACAGAAUCAAUGAAUUUUGCUAAUUUGUUGUUGAUAUCUAGAAAAUUGCAGAUAAAGUUAACUUAGACCCUGACUGUUCUGGAUUCUGUAGACAUCACAUCUUUGUCUUUAAUAAAAUGCAGUUGGUGACCAGCUGGCAGAAACGUUAGCACAUCGGGUGAAAUACUUAGCAGUAUUUUGUCUGCCGUUACGUUCUGAGUUCAAAUUCUGCCGAGGUUGACUUUACCUUUCAUACUUUCGGGGUUGAUAAAUUAAGUACCAGUUACGCACUGGGGUCGAUAUAAUUGACUUAAUCCCUUUGUCUGUCCUUGUUUGUCCCCUCUGUGUGUAGCCCCUUGUGGUACAAAUCUGGCUGUGUGAUUAAGAAGAUCUUUUUGUGACCACAUGGUCUUGGGUUCAGUCCCACUGUGUGUCACCUUGGGCAAGUGUCUUCUUCUAUAGCCUUGGGCCAACUAAUGCUUUGCAAGUGAAUUUGGCUCACAGAAACUCUGUGGAAGCAUGGCAACAGUUCAAUGACCAAAACUAGUAAAAGAUCAAAGAUAAUGGUUAGAGUUGUUUUGAUUAAUUCCGUCCACCCUGAAUUUAUUUGGGGCCAUACUGGACAGCAGUAUUGAGAAAUUAUUUUGACAUUUUCCGGUUCUGUUUUCAAAUUCUGCAGGACUGACUGAUACAAUAUUUCAAGUUGACUUGAUGUCUGAAGGUUCAAAUCUUUGUAUUUCCAUCCAAAUUACAAAAAAAAAACCACUUAAAUUUCAAUAGUUUUAAACAUUUCUUUUUAAACGUACACCAAGGAGAGACAUAAUUUACUGUGACCAGUGGUGGGAGCACUGGUAUUCUGUUGGAUUGCAGUGUGUGUUGUUUAGGAAAGAAACCCUCCAAAAGUUAAUAGGGCUGAUCACCCAUUGAUGGAUACCUUAUCACCUAUCUCUAUAUAAAAGCUUCUUGUAUGUUGACACAUCAGAUCUCUCUUUGACACAUCAGAAUCAUUUGCACAACCAAACUGAGUGGUAUUUCUUCUGGCGCUUUAUGUUCUGAGUUCAAAUUCUGCCAAGGUUGACUUUGCCCUUCAUCCUUUCAAGGUCGAUCAAAUAAAGUAUCACUCAAAUAAAGUAUCACUCAAAUAUAGUAUCCCUCAAAUAAAGUAUCACUCAAAUAUAGUAUCCCUCAAAUAAAGUAUCCCUCAAAUAAAGUAUCCCUCAAAUAAAGUAUCACUCAAAUAAGGUAUCCCUCAAAUAAAGUAUCCCUCAAAUAAAGUAUCACUCAAAUAAGGUAUACCUCAAAUAUAGUAUCCCUCAAAUAAAGUAUCACUCAAAUAAGGUAUCACUCAAAUAUAGUAUCCCUCAAAUAAAGUAUCACUCAAAUAAAGUAUCACUCAAAUAAGGUAUCACUCAAAUAUAGUAUCCCUCAAAUAAAGUAUCACUCAAAUAAGGUAUACCUCAAAUAAAGUAUCCCUCAAAUAAAGUAUCACUCAAAUAAAGUAUCACUCAAAUAAGGUAUCACUCAAAUAUAGUAUCCCUCAAAUAAAGUAUCCCUCAAAUAAGGUAUCCCUCAAAUAAAGUAUCCCUCAAAUAAAGUAUCACUCAAAUAAAGUAUCACUCAAAUAAAGCAUCCCUGCAAUAAAGUAUCACUCAAAUAAAGCAUCCCUGCAAUAAAGUAUCACUCAAAUAAAGCAUCACUCAAAUAAAGUAUCACUCAAGUAUUGAACUCAAUGUACCUCCCCCUUGCACCUCCCCCUCAAAAUUGCUGGACUCGUGCCUCAAUUUGAAACAAUUAUUACAUCAUCAUUCAUAUUAUUAUUAUUAUUAAUAUUAUUAUUAUUAUUAUUAUUAUUAUUAUUAUUAUUAUUAUUAUUAUUAUUACUAAGGCGGUGAGCUGGCAGAAUCAUUAGCGAACUGGUCAAAAUGCUUAGUGGUAGUUUGCCCGUCACUACGUUCUGAGUUCAAAUUCUGCCAAGGCCAACUUUGCCUUUCAUCCUUUCAGGGUCGAUAAAAUAAGUACCAGUUGUGUACUGGGGUCAAUAUAAUCAACUCAUCCCCCUCCCCCAAAAUUGCUGCCCAUGUGGCAAAAUUUGAAACCAUUAUUAUUAUUAUUAUUAUU